rnacentral:tRNA from 1 species
GCCUUCGUGGUGUAAUGGUCAGCACACUGAGCCGGUAUUUCAGAGGUCCGUGGUUCGAUUCCCGGCAAAGUCC